UGUCUCUAGGGGAGCCUUCAGCAGAUAAGCUGGUCUGCUGCUGAGCUUGGUUUUAAGUAGGUUUGUUGCCAUGCUACUAGACGCACCAUUCUUCAAUGUACGUAGUAAAGAGUGUAACCCUAUACAUGCCUACUCAGAGGUAAGCCUCACCAGGUUCCAUUGGAUCUACUUCCAGGUAAGUGCGCAUAGAAGUGAUACUGCUCAGCGACUCACACAUGUUUGUGUUACAUCCUCAUUGUUCAGUCACAAGGCCUGCCUAUUAAGACCUGAUAGUAAAACUCUGCACACUAGAAACAGGGCCCAGCUUCUUUGGGUGUUGAUGAAAGUGGGAGCCGCAGCCAGGUGCUGACGACUUGUUCAUUCCUUCUAUUUCAGAACCCUUUCCAAUCUGCUUGAAAAGGGAAAACCUUAAAAGUAGCUGGAGGUCUUGUUGCCUAAACCAGGGAUGGGCAGAUCUCUGGGAGAUUUGCAGUAGAUGGGAAAGGAUUUCUAACUUCCAGUUGUUUAACAGCAAUAGCAACAAAAAUCAUUUGACAGGCCAUAAGUGUACUGCUGAAAUAAGACAUUCAUUAGGGUAACCAGGAGUGCUUUGGUGUGUGUAUGUGGAAAGACUAGGAGCUCCUUUCUGCUCUGGCACUCAAAACAAAAAGCUGCGCUCAGAAUUCUUUAAUUGUUUUGUAUGGGCCUCCAGUCGGUGGAUCUACUAAAAAUAAAGGUUCUAAGGGAAAAAAGUAGAUCCCACAGGUCUGAAGUUUGUCCACCUGUGGCAUAAACCAUACAAUAAAGAUAAGUCUAACAAAUGCAGGAAGCUGACUUAUAUAGAACCAGGCCACUGGUCCAUUUAACUUAGUAUUGCUUACACUGACUGGCAGCACCUUUCUAGGACUUCCGGCAGGAGUCUCGCCUGGUCUUUGCUGGAGAUACUGAGGAAUGAACCUAGCGCCUUCCACGUGCACAGCAGGGGGUACCAUUGUGCUACGUGGUGGGCAGAAGUAGGAAACUGCUAAACUUUUAAUUUGAUGAGAAAGAAAAAGGAAAGCCACCCAGGGCUCACAGGCUCCUAGGCAACUGCUAAGGGUUGCUGGCAUCAGGCAAAAGGAGGAGGUUGUUGCAAGCAUCAGAUACUUCAAUAGGGCAAUGCGGGAAAAGUUUGCAUAUAGUGGACUGAAAUUUCACCAGAGUAUGUUAUAAAGCGAAACAACAAAAACCAGGAAGUUCAAAUGACUUCUGUGAGACAGAGAAAACCUGGCAAGUCAGGCCUUCAGAAGCUCAAACUCCACCAACUGCAACGGUUUACUGCCACUUGGCAAGCAGGAAAGGUUGCCUGCUUGGCUUGUUUGCAGAUCCCAGCCUUUCACUUUAAGCAAUGUGCGGUUCACUCCAAGGCAAAGUUAACUUGAGGCGUGCUGCUGCGGAGGAAGCAAAGUUCAGUCUGUGCUGCUUGCCCUGCCUCGGCCCACUUGAUCUUAUAGUUAUCAAGCCAUGAACUACAGGUAGCAAUCCACCGAAAGCAAAACAAUCUCUGAGGCCGAGUGAGCGGCUACCAGCUUAAGUCCUCCCCCAUCCUAACCGCCCUCUCCCUCUCCUUGUGCUUUUCUCCAGACGCGCAAAUCGUCUUGCCAACAUCCACAGAUGCCAGAGUGGCAGAGACAGCGAGAGGAAGGGGGGAGGGUUCAAUUAGAUGCAAACCAUGAGAAUAAAUGUCUAGGUUAGAUUGGCGACUUCCUUGGUAAUAUAACAAGCUGGAAGGAUUUUUUUUUAAAGCACAAUAAAAUGGAAAAAUAUCACAGAUGCCGAGGCGGUUUCCCACGCCAGAACGGCAUCGCUGUUCCAUUCUGUUUACAACGAUGCACUUUUUGUUGGUAUGUUCAAAAAUCCUCUCCUGUCACACCCGGAUCGGAGGUGGGUGGGUUGGUUUAAAACUAAGAAAAGAUCUCGGAAGCGACUGGGACCGGGUGGCCUGUUUGCAGCAAAGCCUAAACUUUGUACCGUAUUUCGCGUCCCGCUUGCAAAACUGCCUCGACUAGCGGCGGCUUCUGUACGCGCUUCCUCCCCAAGCUGCAAGCGAAGCGCAGCGGGAAGAACAGGGAUUGCUUCGCCAAAGACCGGCCCGUCGCGAUCCGCAAGUUGAAAUGCGGGCAGAGUGCGAGCAAGGACUCGGAAGCACCCCCGCUCCGGCUUUCGAUUGGGGCGAGAGAAUCGAGGCAAGCAGAAGGGGCGAUCGCGACAGUAAAGCGGGCUUGACCAACCGGAAUUUCACGUUUAAAAGAGCCGAACUUACCGCAUCGUUAUUAAUUACAUUUCUAAAGUGUGCAAGAAUACCAACCUAAACUUC